ensembl:ncRNA C01F1.8 ncRNA
UCGAUGAUUUUUUGGCUGUUUAGAGGUAGGUAAACGUUCUGAAUACUUUUUGGAAAUUUCUUAAAAAUUCCAAAAAGCUUUCAGAAUGUUUGUCCACCUCUAAACUCUGAAAAUCAUCAAAAGCUGGCAAAAAUCCACAUCUGGAGACAUUUUUCUAGUUCAAAGUGCUUGCUAAAUUUUUUAUAGUGACCUAUCCAAAAUGUGCUCUUUCAAAUGAGCACAGGUCUCAUUUAGAAGAAGCUCUCCAAUCCAUAC